CCUACGGGGGGCAGCAGUGGGGAAUAUUGCGCAAUGGGCGAAAGCCUGACGCAGCGACGCCGCGUGAGGGAUGAAGGUCUUCGGAUCGUAAACCUCUGUCAGCAGGGAAGAACGGUCACUGUGCUAAUCAGCAGUGAAUUGACGGUACCUGCAAAGGAAGCACCGGCUAACUCCGUGCCAGCAGCCGCGGUAAUACGGAGGGUGCGAGCGUUAAUCGGAAUUACUGGGCGUAAAGCGCUCGUAGGCGGUAGGUCAAGUCAAGGGUGAAAUCCCCGCGCUUAACGCGGGAACUGCCUUUGAAACUGGCAAACUGGAGUGUGUGAGAGGAUAGUGGAAUUCCAGGUGUAGGAGUGAAAUCCGUAGAUAUCUGGAGGAACAUCAGUGGCGAAGGCGACUAGCUGGAACAUAACUGACGCUGAGGAGCGAAAGCGUGGGUAGCAAACAGGAUUAGAUACCCCUGUAGUC
rnacentral:rRNA from 1 species